ACGAACGCUGGCGGCGUGCUUAACACAUGCAAGUCGAACGGAAAGGCCCUGCUUUUGUGGGGUGCUCGAGUGGCGAACGGGUGAGUAACACGUGAGUAACCUGCCCUUGACUUUGGGAUAACUUCAGGAAACUGGGGCUAAUACCGGAUAGGAGCUCCUGCUGCAUGGUGGGGGUUGGAAAGUUUCGGCGGUUGGGGAUGGACUCGCGGCUUAUCAGCUUGUUGGUGGGGUAGUGGCUUACCAAGGCUUUGACGGGUAGCCGGCCUGAGAGGGUGACCGGCCACAUUGGGACUGAGAGACGGCCCAGACUCCUACGGGCGGCAGCAGUGGGGAAUAUUGCACAAUAGGCGGAAGCCUGAUACAACAACGCCGCGUGCGGGAUGACGGCCUUCGGGUUGUAAACCGCUUUCGCCUGUGACGAAGCGUGAGUGACGGUAAUGGGUAAAGAAGCACCGGCUAACUACGUG
rnacentral:rRNA from 1 species